GGCACCAGCCCUUGCUGUGCUCCCCCUGCUGGGCAAAGAAAGUAAAGCCUUUCCUUUCCUCUCAAGACUCUGUCCUCGUUAUUUGGAUUGGCAUCGGGUUCAGAGACUGAACUUUUGGUUACACAGUUGGCGACCCAGAUGGGACCUGUGGGUUGUUCCCACUGAGACCCCCUCGGCUUCUUCGGCUGCUCCAAAGUUGUACUCUGCGCCUGCCCCAGUUGUGGAAGUGGACAGUUGGAGAAAGACUCAGGGAGGCCUGAUCACCCGGGACCAGUACUUAGUUGACUGGACUUCACCCAGGUCGAGUCCAGGUCUGCUCCCUUGGCUGGCCUCUGCGGAGUGCCCAGCACAGCCAGAGGGGCCGCUCCAGCCGCUGGGAAAGCGGGUUUCACUCUGGGAGGCUUCCCUCAUGCUUCAUCCCCUGGGUGGCCGUCUGGACUUCUGCAGACCUCUGGAAACUACCUUGGGGAGAAGGAAAGAGCGUUUGUGUGGAGUCGUGAUCCCCCAGCCCAACUAGCCAGCGAGGCAGCAGGAAGCCCAAGUGCUGAAGCUCAUCCUGCUGGCAGGGGGCAGGGGACAGCAGCCAGGGAAUGAGGGGUCCUAAGGAGAGACAUGGAGCCUCUGCGAGGCUGGGGGCCGCCACCCUGGAGCCCGGCACCCAAGGCUGACGCCCUGAGCCUGGCUGGAAGCUGAUUGCUGCGCUCACCUGUGACCGCCCAGCUGGAGACAAUAGACUUGCCUCCUGCUGCGCCCACCAAGAUAGCCGACCCACUACCUGCUGUGUCCAUCAAGCGCUGUGCCAACAGGGCAAUCUUGUGACUAUUGUGGGAGGGACAUUUCAAUCACAUGUGAAACGUCCUGUAUGGGGGUAUAUAACCACUCUGUACACCUCACUUUCUUGUGAUGUGGAUUAAGGCUGCCCCAGCUAGAGAAGCCCAAGGUGACCUGGCCUACAUGCCAAACUAUAUGACCCGGUGGAUUUUUAUGGUGUGAAUUAGGGCUGCCCCAGGGAGAGAAGCCCAGGGCAUCCUCACCUACAUGCCAAUCUAUAUGGCCAGACUUGUACCUAAAGUUAUAUGACCACACAAUAACCAGACCCCAUCUGCACUGAAAUCAUUUAAUGACUUUUUACAUCAUCUUUUCUUUUUCCAGUAAAAAUAAGUCGCGUACCCAUGCCUUAUAAAUUUAGCCCUAACCCUCAACUCAGGGCAGCAGCAGGAGCUCUGACUGCCCAUGGGUCCUGUCCCCAUGCCUGCAGCUCUUCACUGCCCAUGGGUCCUGUCCCCAUGCUAUUCCAUACUAUUCUCUAAAUAAAAGAGCACCACUGCCAGGCCUUGAGAGUUCAAGAAAUCUUUCUUUCGACUCCUCGGCUCACUGACCCCACAUCAUUUCUGGUGGCCUGUACGGGCAACUUGCUUCAUCGGCUUGUGAGCUCAAGUUCUGGUAGUUUCCAGAGGUCUCCAGAGGUCCAGACGGCCACCCAGGGGAUGAAGCAUGAGGGAAGCCUCCCAGAGUGAAACCCGCUUUCCCAGCGGCUGGAGCGGCCCCUCUGGCUGUGCUGGGCACUCCGCAGAGGCCAGCCAAGGGAGCAGACCUGGACUCGACCUGGGUGAAGUCCAGUCAACUAAGUACUGGUCCCGGGUGAUCAGGCCUCCCUGAGUCUUUCUCCAGCUGUCCACUUCCACAACUGGGGCAGGCGCAGAGCACAACUCUGGAGCAUCCGAAGAAGCCGAGGGGGUCUCAGCGGGAACAACCCACAGGUCCCAUCUGGGUCGCCAACUGUGUAACCAAAAGUUCAGUCUCUGAACCCGAUGCCAAUCCAAAUAACGAGGACAGAGUCUUGAGGGGAAAGGAAAGAGCGUUUACUUUCUUUGCCCAGCAGGGGGAGCACAGCAAGGGCUGGUGCCUCAAGCACUGCUAGCUCCCCAUUAAGAAACGCGUAGGGGUUUUUAUUUGGGGUUUUAGGUAGGGGAGGGGAGCUGUGACCUUCUUGGUCAGCAUUUUCCCAUCGGCCCACGUUUGGGACAGCUUCCAAGGGCGGGGAGACAAAGGAUUCCACAGAUGGACGUCCCUGGCUGUUUAUCUCCAUGGUGGAUGGUGGACUCUGGGAAGCUUCUGUUUCUUGACGUUCUCUGGGCACUAAUUUCUCUGUGAAAGAACUUCAAGGUCCUGGGAUCAGCCACAGCUUUAGUGCGAGCCCAGCUUGAGCCCAUCUGGGCUUUAACAAUGUGUAACUUCUAUUUGGUUGUGAAGCUCAGGGAGUCAGAGGGUAAAGAAACACAUUUACGUAUGAGCGUAACUAAGGACCCAGGGAACUGGGAACGUAUGCUUGUAGUUUUAACCCAUAUAUGCUGGGCUCCCUGUAGGGGAACCCAUAUCAGGGCUGAUAUUACCUAAGAGCCAGUAAGACAAUGACCAACCAGUCACAAUUACCACUCCAGUCCCAUGGCUCCAUAAGGCAGCAAUUCCUAAGCCCACCUCAGUAAAAAACCCAGCAUCUCCAGUGUCAUAAAAUACUCAACCCCUAUCCCAUUAGACUUAAACACAAUUUCUCCCUCAUCAGUUUUCAAAAUAAAUAAAACCGCCAUAACCUCCAUCAAUAACCCCAAGGGGAAUAUCCCUGGGACAGUUAAAUCAGAAACUCAAGCCUCAGGACACUGCCCAGGAGCCGGAGCCCUUGGAUAACCAAAACCCACAUCCCCUCCAAACGGGGUGUGUGGAUAGGACACUCAGAUUCAUUAAAAAAGAUGUAAUGAAGGAAAGGGUUCUGAAAGGAGUUAGUUGUGUAUAAGUCUGGUGUGCAGGGGCCGUGGGAUUCUCCUAGAGAUAGAAUUGUUGUGAGGAUGUCUGGCAUCAUGCUCUUGGCAUGUUCUGCCGGGAAGAAGCAGGCAAGUGGACUCGCUGUGUAUUCAACAUUGAAGCCAGAGACGCGUUCGACUCUCCCUGUGUUCAAUCAAUGGAACUCGCUUGGUUCCAUUGCCAGGGUUGAAAUGAAUCAUCCUGUGCCUAGUAGUCAAGAUGAAAAAUUAGUCAUAAGUAUUCUUGGGUAAAAAUUAAUGUUGAAAGUGAAAACGAUGGUACGUUAGCAGGACGGACAGUAGAAUAAUUGCUCACGUUACUUCCCACAAAACUGUUGGUGCUGCUGCUCGUAGGGGUCUAAUUAGUGCACGUGUUGAAUUUGAAGCUGAGGCUGAUCAGAGAAUGGAAUAAACAGCUAGGCCUGACAGGGUUCGUGCAAACAGUAGGCCUAGGCUUCUGUUAAUCAGUGGGCGUGGUGUGGGUCGUGGAAUUCAUCUUGUUGGGGCCAGAGGGAGGGGCGGGAUUGGUGCAACGAGAAAUUGGGAUGUUGACGGUGUUGGUGGUGUGGCAGUUCUUUAAUGAAUAGUCUGACGGCACCAGCGAUGGGCUGCAGCAGGCCACGGGGGCCGACCGUGUUGGUCCUUUGAGGAGUCCUAUGCAGCCUAACGCUUCUCACUGGACCAUCGUGAGGAGAGCAGUGGCGAGCGGGAUGGGGGUGAUGAGUCGGAGAACGCUGAUUACAAGCGCGUUGUCAGGAAGAGGAAUCGAACCUCUGGCAAUAAAGCUUUAAAUUUUACAAGAUGCCCAGCUCUGGCAUCCUGACAUACCCCGUUCCUGGGCAGGGCUGGGUCUAAAUUAAUUAGAUUAAGAUUAUAUCAUCCAUUAGUUUGAAGGUGCUUUUGAAAAGUGGGCCUAUUUCUCUCGUCCUUUCGUACGGGGAGAAAUGUGGAAUCAAUAGAAACCAAUUGGAUUAUUGCUGAUGAACUCAGAUCUCAGAGCACCUUAAUCAUUGAACAAACGACCUGUGAACAG
rnacentral:lncRNA from 1 species